UAUAAAUUGAACUAUUUACAAUUGUAAAGUUAAGUUUUAUGAAAAUAAAAACCGAGAUAAAAUUCUCAAGUAUUUUGUAUAUACACAUUGAGCGGAGUGAUACAAUUUUCAAUUCUGGAAAUUCAGAUGAAAAUGAAUCUAUGCGGAAUUGGGGAUAGAGUCACUAUACAAAUUUAUACAGUUCCAUCAUAAUCAUACCCAACAAAAUUCCAAUUAUUUUCAGUGGAAUCACAAGUUGCCACAUGGUUAAUGGUGGUCUUGCCGACAUCUUUAAUCGGAUACAUUUAUAUGACCACGCGUUAAGCAAGCUUUCUAAGUUAACGAACUUUCUAGACUAUGUCUGAAGAUCAGGCCAGUUCCACACGAAGAAAUGAAAUAUCCGACAAAAUUCUCUCUAGAGGACGAAGGCUUCUAGGAUCUUGGAACUUCCAUCAUUGUGGAUUUACCAUCUUAAGAUGGGAAUUGAUUAAAUGAGGAAUAUUGAUUGCCUUACUUCUUAGAUGGGCUUAUAGAUGUAAUUGUCACAAAAAGCACAUACCCUCUUGUGAAGGAUAUAUUGGAGGAGGUAGAUCAAAUUUGAAAAUCUUGUGGAUCAUGGAUUGUUUUAGAUAGUAAGGAAAAAAACUUCAUUGUCAUUUGCUUGUCUUGAGGUGGGAAGGAGUCCGUUCUAGAUGGUUUAUCUCGUUCUCGAGGUCGUAUCAAUAUUGAAAAACAUUUGCAUCAGAAGAAAAACAUUGCUACAGGUCAGUACAGAAUACCGAUCUCGACACAUGAUCUUAAACAUAUUAUCUGCAACUAGCGACUUCUCGAUAUUUUAUAAAACUUAUGGUUAUGUGUUAUAUGUAAGUGAUAGUCCAUCCCGUGUAACAUAAUUUGCUUUUUGAAUUUGCGAUUCGUUCGAAUUUGCCCAAGAUAAACUUGGUGUGUAAGUACUCAUAAAUUUCUUGACCCCAUUAGUUGGGUAGCUACCUGAAAGUUGACUCCGAAGUACCUAACUUUGGAGCCAAUAGUAGUUUGCUUAACAAGUGUCUCUAACGGUAUAAGUAUCUAACUGGUGUAAGAGCGGCCGCUUUGUUACUCUAACUCUUCAGUUUGCCUCAAAUACACGUGUCAGAUCCUUAAUACUUGGGCAUUUGUAUGAUACUUAGACACUUUCAUUUUGAACUAAAAGUAAUGUAUUUUUCUAUAAUUUAGUUGAGUCAGAUCAGAUACUUAAACACGUACCUGUGUCGGAUGUGAGUUUCCAAAUCUGGUAACAGAGAGUGGGCAUACUUGAUGCGGAUGAAUGAUAUUCAAGUGGGGAUUUGGCCUUUAGAAUUGGAGAUAGAAUUCUUACCAUCCUUGAGGAUUCAACCAGAACUAGAAUUCUUACCAUCCUUGAGGAUUCAACCAGAACUUUGAGAUGAUAUCAAGUGUGGAAGUCUAGGACACCAUUUCUCCACAUGCUUGGGUUUGUAAACAUUUAGUGUAUGUAACGCAACAUUCAUUCGAGGUUCUAUAAACGUUUACAUUAUAAUUUCGAACCCCUCGAGAAGUAACCGGAUAAAUGGCUAGACGAAAGUAUCUAUUAGCAAUCGACAACACGCACGAAUCUUUCCCGUGAUUAUAACUAGGUAAUUGUGAAUUGAAUAGAAUGUAGGAGGAAGUACAAAUAUUUCUUUUGAUCUAUUCAGGUGAGUGAGCGAUUCGAUGGCAUGGUAUAGAGGAAAAUGGAGACGACGGGCAAGACUUGUGUGAUAAGUGAUCUAAGGCUUUAUAUAGACUACACUUCCGUUGCUUGAUACAAAUUUUGUUUCAGGAGAUAUAUAGAGUUGCAACCUUAAUUGCAGGGUAUGGCUAGUGAAGUUGAAGUCCAACGGAGGGGCAUGGAGAAUCAAAUCCAACAUUUUAUUUGAAAAAAAAUUAUCAGAUUGAAGUUCAACUUUUUAUAAUUUUUAAUUAAAAUAAUUAGAGAUAUUAAAUGUUAAAAUAUUAUUUGGACAAAUGUGAAAAAACUAAAUUAGACUACUAAAUUAAAUAGGAGGGAGUAUUAUAUUUGUCAAUUCUAUCAAGUUUCACCUUUCUUUAGUGUGAGUGUGUGACCCUCUUUUAUGUUUGUUUGAUAAGCCACCGAAAGCAACGCUAUGUAGCUUGAGGAUAGCAUUGCAGUCUUCAGAGUGCACAGACAAGGGUUUGGUUAGGAUUAGGAUCAUCUCUAUUACUUUUUUCAAUUACUUAUGUUAAGAUUUUGACACUUAUUAUAAAAUAAAAAAUAAAUCUUAAAAUAUAUCUUAAGUAAUGAAAAGAAUUCUAACUCGUGGGUUAGAGCAAAGACUGAAAUUGAACUGGAGUGAAAAUAAUUCUAAAUGACUCGCAAUAAAAACGAUAAUCUGAAUCAACACAAAAUAUAAUUUAGUACUUCUAUAUAAAAUAAGAUCGUAUGAAUAUAUCAACUCAUACACACUAUUUAAAAAUGAUCGGAGUUAAAAACAUAACAUAUCAACCGUACACACUUUAUUUAAAUAUAGUUUGAUACAAAACAAUUUUUUUAUAUUAAAAGUAAAAUUGGUCUCCAUAAAAUAAUUUUUUUUUGAUGUAACCAUAAAAUCAUUUUCACUUUACACUAAAGGAAGAACUCAUUUUCCAUUUUUUUUCAUUGGUAGUUUAUUUUGCGAGUUAAUUCAAAUCAAACACUAGUAUAAAGUUGCUAUUCUAAGUAGCGGUUUUAAGUAUAAAGUCGCUACUCUAACUACUGGUUUAUUAUUAAACAAUCUAAAAUAAAUUUUAACUUCAAUUCUACGUAAAUGAUACAGAGGAAAUCAAUUUUUAUUAAAAAAACUCCUCAUAACAUUAAAAUUCAAAAUCAUACAAUAAUUUGAAUAAACAUCUUAUAUACUCUAAAAAAUUUUAAAAGUUGGUGGAUGGUGUGGAAUAAUAAUCCAUUCAUUCCACACAAAAUAGGACAUUUAUUUUUUUAUACUAUUUACUUAGCACUUUUAAUUUGUAUUUUAUUUUUAAUUUAUAGAUUAAAACAUGGUCAAGUGUGAUCUUGUUUGAUUCAUCUCAAUGCAAAAAUUAUUAAUAUUUAUUUUUUAUAACAUUUCGUUAUGAAUAAUAACGGAUAUUAAAUAUUAAAUAAGUAUAUUAAAUAGUGUGAAAAAAUAAAUAAGACAUUUGAAGUGGAAGGGGAGUAUAUUGCGGGAAGGGACCAAUACUAAUUACUAGAAGUAUGAUAAAGCCUGCAAUACAGUCUAAUCCCAGACGUGUGCUGCCCAUUUUUUGCGGCAUUAUAUUUAUGGAAGCCAGCCUCACCCGGCACCACUGUCGACCGAUAGAAUAAGAGAAAUGACUUUUUAUUAUUUAUAUAAUAGGCUUAGAGAAGAUAAUAUACGACUUAAAGAUUUUAUUAAGAAAAUACAGUACUUAUUUCAAUUAACAUAGGAUCUGAUUCUCAGAAGAAAGGAAAUUAAGCUAGGAUUUUAAACCUAAUUUGAUACCAUGAUAAAAAUUUUUGCGGUACUAAUAUUGUCAAAUGUUUCAUCUGUUCUAAAAUACUCACUAUAUGAUUGUUAUUGGCACUAUUUAUAAUGUAAACUUAUUUUAUAUAUUGCGG